AAAAUAUUAACCCAAUCUGGCCUAAAUAAAAAAACAAAAACAAUUAACCACUACCCAAACAGACCCAAAAACAAGCCCAAACUAACCCACAGCCCAAAACCUAAAAAACCCAAUACCCAUUUUCAGAAAAAAAAACAAAAGAAAACCCUAGCCCCCUAACCCUAGCCGUCGCACCUAGCCCACUUGCCUUGCCACCGCCGCCUCUGACCAGCACCGCCACGAUCACGUCGCCUCACCCACUUGCACCUGCAAC
rnacentral:lncRNA from 1 species